rnacentral:rRNA from 1 species
GAUGAACGCUAGCUACAGGCUUAACACAUGCAAGUCGAGGGGCAUCAUGGAGGCAGCUUGCUGUCUCUGAUGGCGACCGGCGAAUGGGUGAGUAACGCGUAUCCAACCUUCCCUAUAGUAGAGGAUAGCCCGGCGAAAGUCGGAUUAAUACUCUAUGUUUUCCAAUGCAGACAUCUAAAAUGGAACAAAGGCUUGCCGCUAUAGGAUGGGGAUGCGUCUGAUUAGGUAGUCGGCGGGGUAACGGCCCACCGAGCCAUCGAUCAGUAGGGGUUCUGAGAGGAAGGUCCCCCACAUUGGAACUGAGACACGGUCCAAACUCC